AGAGCAUUAAGAAGUAUCUGGCUUCAAUCAGUGACCAGUCGGACCUUAGCACUGAGGCUGGGAGCACUAGACGCAACAUCAAGAAGAAUCGAUACAAAGACAUCCUGCCAUAUGACCAGACUAGGGUGCCUCUGACGCUGCUCGAGAAUGAAGGGUAUUCUGACUACAUCAAUGCCAACUUCAUCCGGGGCAUUGACAGGGAUAAGUACUACAUCGCCACCCAAGGUCCCCUGGGGCAGACUGUUGUGGAUUUGUGGAGGAUGAUUUGGGAAUAUCAGGUCAAGGUGAGAU